CAGUUUCUGUUUCUUUACAUUUCUACAACUGCCUAGUGUUCUUUACCAUACCACAAGGAAAGUCCCCUGUAUAACACCUCUCCUCACAUUGACUCCACAAUCCUGAAUUCACAGCAUACCCAUUUCCUAGUCUAAAAGUUCUUGGUACGGAUCAUGCUUCUGUUUUUCUAAUGACCAGAUGCCACAGAAAACAAUCAGUUUUUAUCUGUUUGCAUCUCCACACUUACUCAGUGUUCUUUAACCAAAGAAGGGACUCCCACCUGGGUACCACAGAGAAGAUUCCAUCUAUGGAGGGAGAAGACGACCCUGGAUGACUCACUCCUCUUUCUCUGAAAUGGAAGCAAAUUCAGAUUCUGGUGCCGGCCUAAUGCUCUAUACAGGACAUCCCCAAAUAUUCCAAAGAGUCCCUGGUGUUGGAGAGAAUAUCCCCGGUGAGACUGACUUAAUGCCCUUCGUAGGGAUCCAGAGAACAGAAACCUUAGGCUGAGUCUGUGCCACCUGGUAGAGCACAGACCUGUCUUGAUGGAGCAGUAUCCUCUGAUGCACGUGUAAUGUAUCCUGUCUCUAAGCAGAGCUCUCAGAAGUAAGAAACCUUUACUUCAGUUAACUCAGGUAAUAGCUAGCUAUAGUCCUGGUCAUGAUUUUUGAUAUUUUGUGAGGUCUUAACCCUGCAUUGUUAAAGGAUCUUCUCCCCUCCUGAAGUUGCGUUAAGGCAGGACCUACUGUGACACAUAGGCUUGUUGCCACAUAGACAUUCUGCUUGUUGCCACAUAGACAUUCUGCUCUGACCAUCAGGAGUGCCAUUUCUUGAAGGAACAUCAAACUUGUUAACCAUUUUUGUGGAACUGUCUUCAUAACUCCAUGCCCAGAUAAAUGUUUGGCUAAUGUAAUAUCUCAUAUUGAAAGAUACACAUUCAAAGAUAUUUUGAGUAUCUCUACAUUCUUUCAGGAGGCAGUUUCAUUCCUUUUUUUUUUUUUUUUUAAUGACAGUUUCAUUCCUGAUUGGACUGACCUUAUGUACUGGGACCAUUAACACAAGAUAACUAUGUGCAUAAUUAUAUAAUAACUAUAAAUGGAUUCAUACUAUGGCUGUAAUUUGUCUUCAUUACUAGAGUGGAUGAUCUUAUUGACUAUUUCACCUAUAAUGUGACUAGCUUAUAAUUGUAUGUAACACUGUAAGGCAUGAAUAUAUAGACUGACAUGGAAAAAAAA
rnacentral:lncRNA from 1 species